GCACAGAGAGCUUGCUCUCGGGUGACGAGUGGCGGACGGGUGAGUAAUGUCUGGGAAACUGCCUGAUGGAGGGGGAUAACUACUGGAAACGGUAGCUAAUACCGCAUAACGUCGCAAGACCAAAGAGGGGGACCUUCGGGCCUCUUGCCAUCGGAUGUGCCCAGAUGGGAUUAGCUAGUAGGUGGGGUAAUGGCUCACCUAGGCGACGAUCCCUAGCUGGUCUGAGAGGAUGACCAGCCACACUGGAACUGAGACACGGUCCAGACUCCUACGGGAGGCAGCAGUGGGGAAUAUUGCACAAUGGGCGCAAGCCUGAUGCAGCCAUGCCGCGUGUAUGAAGAAGGCCUUCGGGUUGUAAAGUACUUUCAGCGAGGAGGAAGGCAUUGUGGUUAAUAACCGCAGUGAUUGACGUUACUCGCAGAAGAAGCACCGGCUAACUCCGUGCCAGCAGCCGCGGUAAUACGGAGGGUGCAAGCGUUAAUCGGAAUUACUGGGCGUAAAGCGCACGCAGGCGGUCUGUUAAGUCAGAUGUGAAAUCCCCGGGCUCAACCUGGGAACUGCAUUUGAAACUGGCAGGCUUGAGUCUUG
rnacentral:rRNA from 1 species